UAGUACAGUCGAUUCCACUUAAUUGCAUACCGCUUAAUAGCAUAAUUCGGUUAAUUGCAUACUUUUCUCCUGCACAAAACCAUUUCCCAUUCAUCUAAUGUUAAAUUGUCCGGUUAUAUGCAUAGCCUUACAAGUGGCAUUUCGGUUAAUUGCAUAGAAAAUAAUCGCCAGCUAGAUAUGCUUAGUUAAAACUGACGAGAUUUUUGACCGGAAACGGCAAUUUGGUAAGUAUAUUUUUCUUGAAUGCAUCAUAAUUUUCAUUAUUAUUUCACAUUUACUUCUGUGUUAUUUAAAUAAAGUUUUAAAACAGUUUCUUUCGUGUUUAUAUGAUUAUAAAAAAGGCCUCGAUGUGUACACAGGUAAAGUUUCCCAUAUUCUAUUUUAAGCCUCGAGGUCAUAAAAAUGUCAAUCAGCUGAUUGUUGUAAAAACACAACCAUUCUAUGAUCUUCUAUCUCAAAAGGUGUUAAUUAUUGAUUGGAUUUCAAACAUUGUUCAUAGAUUACAUUUUGGGUGAAUUUUUAAAACAUUAACGCCUGCUAAUUAUCGAUCAUUAUCCAAUGUGUAAUCUCGUAAUUCAGCUUGGGUGAUCUACAUUUAUGUUAAAUAUUACAGGGCAUUUAUAUAUGGUUGAAGAAUUUUAUACAUCAAUCUUUCAUUUUUAAUAUUUUUUUAAAAGAAGAAAUUAACUUCUAAAAUUAUUAUAUUUUCUCACUUUCAACACUCGUGUCCAGCAAAUAACCCGUGCAGGGCCCCAUUACCUGUUAACUGCUUUGCAUAUACGAAACUAACGAGGUUAAAGUAACAGUGUUACAUCACUGUGCAAUCGGUAAAUACUGCAUAUCAAAGGCAGUUCAUUACACAUUUAUUGUUUAAAAUGAUUAUAAACUGUGUAGUAUUGUUAAACAGUUUGUUUUAAUCAAAGCGUAACAAUGUAAUUUGUACAUCCGGGUCAUAGAAACAAAUCUAUUUUUAGAACAAUUUUAUUUUCGUAUCUCAGGUAAAGGAAAAGUCGGUACAUAAAUAAACUAAAACAAAAUGUGUUUAUAAACUUUAUUGAAAGAAUACACAAUGAAAUAAAAUGUAUGACACUAGACAAAUAACUUUUAUUAGAAUAAAUAAGCAUUCAAUAUGUUGUAAGUGGAUUAUGGACGUUCAUCUUUCUUCUUCUUUACUGAUCUGCACUAUCGAUGUUAUUUGACUCCGUAAUUUGGCAUUUCGGAUAUAAGCAUACUCCGCUUUAUUGCAUAAUUUCGUCUGACAAAUAGGCUAUGCAAAUAACCGGAAUGUACUGUAA
rnacentral:lncRNA from 1 species